rnacentral:lncRNA from 11 species
GGAUGGCAGAGGAUAUACAGUACAUUCAGUUUUAUUCUCUGAUGCCUUUCUACUUCUCUGCAUGACCACUUUAAGCAUCAAGAAUGCUAUUUCUCCUGGUAUGCAAUCCAAGGCUGAUGAUCCUCAAACCUUUAUUCUUUCUGCAUUUCUCCUUUCUGUCAUCUGGAUUGGUUUCCUCUCUCUCCUGAUCAAUUUUUCAUGUUUCUCUUGCUGAAAUUUGUCCAUGUUUUAGUUUUCUGUCACGUUGAAAAGUGGCUGAGAAUUCUGUAUUUGUUCUUUGUAUUUCUUUCUAUUGUAUAUCC